GGUUUGGUGGUCUAGUGGUAUGAUUCUCGCUUAGGGUCCACCCUAUUCAUGUUUGCGAGAGGUCCCGGGUUCAAUCCCCGGCCAAACCC
rnacentral:tRNA from 1 species